AAUAACCGAAAAUCCUUGCAGGGUCUAGGGUGGGUUCUGUUACGACUCGGACAUUUUCCACAGAGGGGUCGUACAGUCCGCCAAAAAACAUGGCUUUGGCAACUAGGAGCAACGCGCCAACUCCGAGUAAGACUAGGUGAAUGCCUAAAAUAGAGGUCAUUUUGUUUUUGUCUCCCCA
rnacentral:antisense_RNA from 1 species